CUGCCUAUCAUGCAUUUCGAUCGUAGCUCCGUUUUGCUAAGUUGCAAUUUUGUUGGCGGAGAACUUUUUGUGGUUUUAUUUUGCUGCGAAAAUUUUAUUAUUUGCGUGAUUUUUUUUUUAAUUUUCUAAAAAUGUCAAAAACAACAACACCAGGGCAAUAUGGAAAAUUGGCAGAUAUGAUGGAGAGUAAGCUAGAUAUAGCCAAAGGUUUCCAACAGGGUCUUAAAGAAGAUGUGCAGGCUUUUUGGAAAGAGGAAGCAUCAAAUUUACUUGCCGUCGUUUCUUCCGCAAACGUAUCUAGGACAUACUUGAAUGCGUCCUUAUUCAGACGAAAGUUUUUUUGAAUCUAAAUAAGUAAAAAAAUUGUAAGAAAAAUGUCUACUUUCACUUGCAAUUACUUACAGCCCGUCAUUCAUCUGGAAGGGAUCGCACAUAUCUCGUAAUCUUUUCCUUUCAAUUCUCACCGCAGCAUUCUGAGAUGCGCUGCUCUCCUCCUCAACCAGUAAUAUCGCCGCGGAUAAAGAUUCCAUAGUUACGUUUAAUAAAAAUAAUAACAAUAUAAAAAUUUUACUUUUAUUUAUUUUCUUUGAACAGCAGUAAUUUGUGUAUUUUUGUUUUGUUAUGUUCCAGUUUCACAUAUUUCAAAGCAAACAGCUGAUUUCGAAAGAGUUAUAGCUCUUCCUCUUCUUCUUUCAAUCCAAUUGCAACGCAUGAUACCUAAUUUCGACUCCGGCGGAGCGUAGAGCGGGAACGUAAUCGAAAUGCAUGAAAGGGACUCAAAUAUUCCCUUAACAUCGUAUUGGCCGGAACGGGAGAAAUAAGCUGGGGUCAAAGUAGAAGUUUCGAAGACCUAGACUAUAUGGAGAGACAUGUUUAAUAACACACACCUUUGCAAAAAGAAAGCCAUCAAUGGGGCAAGAAACUGCAGCGAAAGUAAGCCUCGGCUAAAUCAAUGAAAUGCGUAUAAACACCACCUAUACCCAAAACUUCCAAGUCGAUUGUAGAGAACUCGGAAAUGUGAAAUUCUUUUAGUUACUUGAGCAAGUUAUAGGCAUGCACAUUUUACCAAUUGUUAUUUUAGUUAUUAAUUUGAAUUACAAUUUUUUUUUAUUUUACG